GGGGGGGGAAGCAGCGUAACCCAAGGGAGUGCGAGCCCACGCGUGACCGUGCCCCGGGGGGCCGUGGGGGCUUCGGGUGCAGGCAGCGCAGGGCUUUCGCCUCUGCUGCUUCCCGCACGCGUCCCCGCUGCCGGGCCAGGGUGGCGCUCGGCCCUUGCUUGCGAUGGGGACAUCCCCCAGCCCUUUAUAAAUAAUGCAGCGUUAUUAAUUAUGCAAUUUAAUUAAUUAUGCACAUACAGCAUCUACCAGCAGAUUGCUGCUACUGGCUUCCUUCGUCCAAAGCCUUUCGCUGGCUGGGUUUUUGCAAGCCAGCAGCCGAGGAGCCGGCGUCGGGGAAGGCCUCGAAUUCGGCGCCGGCCAAAGAGCCGGUUACGGCAACGGCGGUGUUUCGGCAUCACGGCUAACGCGCGCCGACCUCCCUCCAACCGCCGGCACAGCUGCGCGGGUGGUAUUCCAGCAGAAUGGUCGCAGCGCGUUGACAAGCACAGGCGUCCUCCCCAGCGAUGGGCACCCGGCCGGGAGCCGGUGGGCAGCGACGGACCGGCAGGCAGCGAUGGACCGACGACGGUUCAGGGAAGGGGCUGGGAGAAGGGGAGCGGCUCUAGGAGGUCAGGAAAGGCCACCUAACCACCCAGGCUUGGGAGCAUUUUGGUAUCGUCACAAGCCCCGGUGGCAGGGGCCGAGGGCUCCUUUCUGCUCCCGGGCAGCCGGGGCUGGGUGCGGGGAUGUCGCCAGCCCAGGCCAGAGGCAAUAAAACGCCUGGAGUGAUGCAGCAAAACAGGCUGGAGUCGCGUGUCGAAAUAAAUCAUCCAUGGAGGCAAGGCA